AAUGCCCUCCUCCCGGAGUUCAGUCAAAGGUGACUCCUGCACUCAGAGCAAUCCCUGUUGCACUGCCGCCACGCCUCCGGAUGCUGCCACCAAAUGAGCACUUGGAUGCAAAUUAUUUUUCUCAAAACGUUCUCAUUUAUAUGAGUCAUUUUCAACUAACCUACAUCCAGGACAACGGCAGCAUACAGCAGGUCCAAGAAAAACUCAGUGUAGAUCCAACAUAAACUAAAACAUACAUAAACUUUUCCAUAAUGGUUCUCGUUAGAAAUGCGCCUUUUUCUGGAUUGCUCAGGUAUCCACUAUAUCCUCCCUAAAAAUUUCCAUGGACAAGACACUUUUAACAGGAAGAAUAUUAUGCUUAAAUUCACAGUGUUCAGAAAGCUGUAGGCCUUAAACUUGCUACUAAAAAACAGAGCCUUAGCUAGCAAAAGGUCAGCUAGCAUCAGGUUAAAAUCAGGUAAGCAAGUAUCAGGCUAAAAUCAGGUAAGCUAGUAUCAGGCUAAAAUCAGGUAAGAUAGUAUCAGGCUAAAAUAAUGUAAGCUAGUAUCAGACUAAAAUCAGGUAAGCUACUAUCAGGCUAAAAUCAGGUAAGCUAGUAUCAGGCUAAAAUCAGGUAAGCUAGUAUCAGGCUAAAAUAAUGUAAGCUACUAUCAGACUAAAAUAAUGUAAGCUAGUAUCAGACUAAAAUCAGGUAAGCUAGUAUCAGGCUAAAAUCAGGUAAGCUAGUAUCAGACUAAAAUAAUGUAAGCUAGUAUCAGACUAAAAUCAGGUAAGCUAGUAUCAGACUAAAAUAAUGUAAGCUAGUAUCAGACUAAAAUCAGGUAAGCUAGUAUCAGGCUAAAAUCAGGUAAGCUAGUAUCAGACUAAAAUAAUGUAAGCUAGUAUCAGGCUAAAAUCAGGUAAGCUAGUAUCAGGCUAAAAUAAUGUAAGCUAGUAUCAGGCUAAAAUAAUGUAAGCUAGUAUCAGGCUAAAAUCAGGUAAGCUAGUAUCAGACUAAAAUAAUGUAAGCUAGUAUCAGACUAAAAUCAGGUAAGCUAGUAUCAGGCUAAAAUCAGGUAAGCUAAUAUCAGGCUAAAAUAAUGUAAGCUAGUAUCAGGCUAAAAUAAUGUAAGCUAGCAUCAGGCUAAAAUCAGGUAAGCAAGUAUUGGGCUAAAAUCAGGUAAGCUAGUAUCAGGCUAAAAUCAGGUAAGCUAGUAUCAGGCUAAAAUAAUGUAAGCUAGUAUCAGGCUAAAAUCAGGUAAGCUAGUAUCAGGGUAAAAUCAGGUAAGCUAGUAUCAGGGUAAAAUCAGGUAAGCUAGAUUCAGAAUCAUGGAAUUUAGGUUUAGACUAAAAUGAGGUAAAUUUGGUUCUGUCUAAAAUCAAGUCAGCUAGCAUCAGGCUAAAAUCAGGUCAGCUAGAUUCAGGCCAAUGUCAGAUAUAUUAGAUUCAGGCUAAACUCAGGUUAUAUAGCAUCAGGUUAAAAUCAGGUAAGCUACUAUCAGCAUAAAAUCAGGUCAGCGAGCAUCAGGCUAAAAUCAGGGCAGCUAGAUUCAAGCUAACAUCAGAAAUGUUAGAUUCAGACUAAACUCAGGCCAGAUAGCAUCAGGCUAAAAUCAGGCUCUCUGCUGGUUUCUUAGUUAAUUGAUGGACAGCCAAAGAUGCAUGAGGACCUUACAAGAAGCAUGAUAUAUGCACGCCGCAGUCUUUUAAUAUGCAAAGUGCUGCACUGAAAUGAAUCCUUCAACUAUACAGAUGUUUGAGAUUUAAUCAAGGACGCGAAUAAAGACACAUUCCAGUUUUUAUCAUCAUUCCCGGUGUUUUACGGCGCUCCCAUAGCCGUCACACCACUAUAAACAUCGAAUCCUCCCAUUAGUGACUCUAAAUUUAUCCCCGCGGUCAACAGUGUGAUUGUGCAGGGUGAAAUGGUGAGCUGACGUCACAGGGCGCCCAGAUUUCUGGCGACAGCAUGCAGAUCACAUCGGCCACGUGUGCACGGCCCUCAUAAGCUCAUACAUCUUCAAAUAAUUAUGCCGUCCCAAAUAAAAUGCCUUCAGAAUAAAUUGGGAUUGCGUGUCUUUCGCACCCCGGACAUGAACACAAUUGCUGGAGGGUGCCAUAUCCCUUUUGAUAGAAAAAGGAGGGAUCAGUUUUGAUAGAGCCUUUCAGGCAACCUUUCGGCCAUCAUAAUUUUUGAAAUGAUUCCUCUCGGACGGCGGUGGUUCUGAUGUACUUGAUGCCCUUGGUGAAAUCUGAGCCAACUGCUGAGAUGUGCAGUUGUGCAGGCACCCACUGUGGUGCGCCUUGAAUGAUGCCAUCCUGGGCGAUUGCCCAUCUUGCCCUUGCCAGGGUCUGCCCAAGCUCUUGAAUACGGCUAUGUUCACACAGCAUGCAGGAAAUCGAAUGGUCUGGGCUGGGUAAUUGAGCGGUAUGGCUUUUUGGUAUCUGGUGCAGGAUCACGUUAGCCAUUAGCCGUGAGAAAAACGCCGACCUCUCAUCUGUGGAAGCUCUCUCCUUACAGAAACACGGGCUUCCACAUUUGAAUUUAUUAAUUUCCUCCGAAAGUGAGAUACAGGUCUUAUAGGAGGUGCAUCUAGGUGCGGAGUGUCGAAAGCUGACGCGUAAUGUUUAGCGAUCUUACACGGGGCUGCCAUAUCGAGAAAGUGCAAUGCUGCUACACGGCUCACAUGCACAAAACAGCAGACGUAUACAAGACAGGGCUCCAAGUCAAUCCAUCCAUCCAUCCAUUUUCCAAACCACUUAUCCUACUGGGUCGUGGGGGGGGUCCGGAGCUUAUCCUGGAAGCAAUGGGCACGAGGCAGGGAACAACCCAGGAUGGUGGGGCCAGCCCAUUGCAGGGCACAAGUCAAUCAUAAGUAAAAAAAACAAGAAGCUCUAGAAAAACGUAGAAUAAAACCAAACAAUAAUAUCCUCGUCACCUGCAGCCGACUGAAGACGGGAAAGAAAUUUGGACACGAUGUUCAUGUAUAAAGACGUGCUCCUCAUAGACAGGAAGACAUGCAGAGAGACACAGCUCAGGAGAACACCCGAUCUGCACUGACUGCCGAGAGCUGGGCACUUUAUCUCCGGGUGUGUGAUGUCAUCAGAGCAAAGCCGGCCUCACCCGUCAUCGCUGGAUGUCUGCGCCCCCUCUCCACCUCGCCGUGGUGUUCGCUUACACGGCCCCUGCUGUAACGUAUCCGUCUGAGUUGGUUGUGCACAGGAAUAUAGGGCAAAUUUGGAGAAGAGAACCGCUGGAAAAGCGUUGAGCAAUUGAUGCCUGUAGAAUGCAUGCAAACACAUGCAUGACUUCUGUAAGACUCUAAGAGUCGAUCAUGCAGACAAACUGGGAAAUUUCAUAAUCAAAACACUGCAGUCCCCCGGUUGAGCCACUUCUGCUUAUGGGCGCCAUGAUCCCUGUAGAAGAAACAUGAGACCGUCUCGUUUUCCGGGGUUUUCUCUAAGGGGGAGAGAAAAAAAUAUUUGCAAGAAAGGAAUGGGGCAGGGACGUAAAAAUCAUCCUCACACAGCCCCUGUAGUCUCAGGGGAGGGGUCGCGUUCCAAGGUUUCAAGGCUUAAAGGCCUGCAUCUGAUGGCAUGCUAUGCAUUCUGGGAACUCACCGGCCUCAGCAGGAGAAUGAAGAAGACCGUGGUGUUUUUUGUUAUUGUUUAUAUUUUUAAUCAUUCCUAAAUUAUACAUGACAACCUGAAAAGCAAAACACACAAGCCCUAAAACCAGAAACAGACUCUAUGAACGUACUGUGACGGAAAGUUUGAAAGAGUUUUGACUGCCUGAAUUAAACAAGACAAUUUUGCCCCCUAGUGGCGAAGAGACUCAUUUACAAUGUUCUACCCAAGCGUCCAUUUAUCCGGACCAUGAAAAACAACACAAAAAUUCACACACUCUAUUCCUGGCUGUGGUUUAAAUGCACUGUUUAGAGAAUGAGAUCUGCGUCUGUGUUUGGCUAAUUAAGUGAACUACAGUUGUCAUGCAUGUCGGGCGCCUGUGUUUCCUGUCUGUUCUCUUUCUACAGCGUUUAUCAUUCGUUAAUGUGGGCCAGUGGGGUCAAUUCAGACCCCUGACCUCCAUCAUGCACAGUUGGCUUCCAGUGAAUGACGCAAGGGCAGAGGGGGCUGGCCUCAUGAGGUCCCCAAGGAAACAUGACAGACCAUUUUAGAGCUGACGGCUGAUGUUGUCUCCAGGGUUUGCUGCUGGCAGGGGCCCUUCCGGGGCCUGAUAUAGACUCACGGUUAUCCUGAGAUCCAGGGUCUGCUCCGAUAGCUGUGCUCUUCCUUGAGGCGUCGUCACUCGAGCCCUAAUUUAUGAAUAAUGUUACACUGUGCAGAGGGCCACUUACUGAAUGGAUUCCAGAUACCGUGUUGCCUGCAUUCUGCACUGGUGCCACCAAGCACAGCACCGGCUGAAAUACCACCUGUGACUUUAUGACAAAUCAGCUCUCGCCCCCUCGCUCCUUAACCCUGAGUUACCUUCCAGAUACUUCUCCAGGACAGGGGUGUGGGGGAGCUUAGAGUACCGUCUUUGCAUUUUGUCUGUUUGCCGCGAUAUGUAUGUUCGUCUGUGCACUAUGUUCUUGCUGCUGUACGCGUCACAAUUUCCCCACCAGGAUCAACAAAGUUAAUCUUAAUCUUAAUCUUAAUCCUAACAGCAGAAUAACCACUGGCAGACACUGACAGUAAAUCCAUAAAUCUGCGUGGACUUCCCCUGUAUCCUUCCCUUACAGUAGAACUCAUCACCUUUUUUUCAGAGUCAAGAGGAAAUCUGUUGAUGGUCUGAGAUGCCGAACAUUUUCAAGUCUUACGAUUCCAUCUGAGAAAUACCC